rnacentral:rRNA from 1 species
AUGGUGGAUGCACCUCUGUACAAGCAGCGCUGCACGUACACUAGGGAGCUCCACGACGUGGACCUCCACGGCAACCACAAGCUCCAUGUCGUUUGCACAAGCAAGGGUGAAGACAUGGACAAGAUGUUGUCCACGCUCAGGAGGAAGCUCGGCGGAAUGCCCGUCAAACUAGUCGGCAUUUAUGUUGAGUACACGCACUACAUGAAGCCACAACAGGCAGCAGUGCUCCAGCUAUGCGUAGAAAAAGAAUGCCUUGUAUACCACAUCUCUACAGCUAAAGACAGGCCAAUGUAA